UACGGGGGGGGCAAGCGUUGUUCGGAAUUACUGGGCGUAAAGGGCUCGUAGGUGGCCAACUAAGUCAGACGUGAAAUCCCUCGGCUUAACCGGGGAACUGCGUCUGAUACUGGAUGGCUCGAGUUUGGGAGAGGGAUGCGGAAUUCCUGGUGUAGCGGUGAAAUGCGCAGAUAUCAGGAGGAACACCGAUGGCGAAGGCAGGUCUCUGGGCCGAUACUGACGCUGAGGAGCGAAAGCGUGGGGAGCGAACAGG
rnacentral:rRNA from 1 species